rfam:Chloroflexi bacterium RBG_16_52_11 RBG_16_scaffold_1559, whole genome shotgun sequence.
GUUUAAUAAAAAGCUUCGCCACAGACAGCAGGCGCCUGAGUCAUUUUAAGGCAAGCCGUUCCAACGGUUUCAGGCUUAAUACCCUGCCGAGGUGAGGAUCGCUCAAGGGAGUUACCUCCCGGGUCGCAAGCGGAUUUUCGCUUGCCAAGAGUGUCUUUGCCGUGUCUUUGCGAGGCAAAGACAUUUCUUUUAUUGAGA